CCCUCUCUCUGUCCCUCUCUCUCUCUCUCUCUGUCUCUCUCUCUGUCCCUCUCUCUCUCUCUCUCUGUCUCUCUCUCUGUCUCUCUCUCUCUCCCUCUCUGUCCUCUCUCUGUCUCUCUCUCUCUCUCUCUCUGUCUCUCUCUCUGUCUCUCUCUCUCUCUCUCUCUCUCAUAAAUCAGUGUGUCUAGUCUCAGUAGUCGCCACUGGCUGCUCAGUUCCGGCAUGUCCUUAUCGAUUGAUCUUGUCUAAUUGAUCCAGCACUAAUGCUCUGAUCCCCACUGCCAGGCCAGCUGGCCGAUGCCAGAGUCAUCCAUCCACCCGCUUAUCUAGUCAGACUAGGUCAUCAUAACUAAGGGGGGGCUCUCCCUAUGUAGUGCUCAUCUCUAUUCCAUAUAUAGUGCUCAUCUCUAUUCCAUAUAUAGUGCUCAUCUCUAUUCCAUAUAUAGUGCUCAUCUCUAUUCCAUAUAUAGUGCACAUCUCUAUUCCAUAUAUAGUGCUCAUCUCUAUUCCAUAUAUAGUGCACAUCUCUAUUCCAUAUAUAGUGCUCAUCUCUAUUCCAUAUCCACCGAACUCAGCAUUUCCAACUAUUUUAUAUUUUAAGCAGAGAUUCUCAGAUAAAGAGAUUCUUAUUUCUCUCUCUCUUCCUCUCUCUUUCUUUUUCUCCUCUCUCUCAUUUCUCUCUUCAUAUGCCUACAUCUGUCAUCUCGCUGCUCUCUAUCAUCUCUCUUUCUCUUCUAUAUUUCCCUGUAAUCCAAAUCCAAUUCAGGUCAAGUCUAGAGGCCUCCUUGGCAGAACAAGUGAGAAUCUUUCUUCUCCACCUUCAACCCCUACAUCUUCCAUCUAUCUCUCUCUUCCUCUCUUCUGUCUAUCUCCCUCUCUCUCUCUCUCUGUCUCUCUCUUCUGUCUUUGUCUCUCUCUUCUCUCUUUGUCUCUCUCUCUCUCUGUCUCUCUCUUCUGUCUAUCUCCCUCUUUCUCUCUACACACUUCCUCUCUGGUAACCCUAGAAAUCUCUGAGGGUCCCUCUCUCUUGUCGUUUACCUCCCUCUCUCAUUCCCAUUGCCCUUGACGACAACACUGGUCACCGCUGAGUAAGAGUUAGUGUUGUUGUAGAUGUGGACUUGGUGACUCCCCGUCCACACUACCCUGGCCGCGGGUCGUUGCUGAGUGUACCAACAUUCCUUGCAGUGAUUUGCUCCGCCUCGUCCAAGUCACUAAACAACCACUUGGCGUAACCGUGGCGACUGCCGUACUGUCGCUGGGUGGUAACCAUUGUCUUGGCGAUGGAAACAGAAGAAGAAGAUAACCCCAUGUCGAGGGAGUUGCUACGUUUGGCGCGCACAAUGCUGUGGGAGGGUCUUAGCGGGAGCUCCCGGGCUCUGAUAGGCCUGAGAAUAGUUCCAUUUAUCUCAGAGUCAGCCCACUACACCACUGUGUCUCAUCCUCCAAUCAGAAAGGAGAUCCUGUCCCAGGGGCCCAUCCAGGGUGAAGCUUGCCCAUUUGGCCCCACCAAUUGUUACUACAUCUGGGCGGAGCCUAGCCCUCCCACAUCAUGAUUGGCGGGGGAGGGUUGAGGGGGCGGAGCUUAUGACAGGAGAGUUGUAGAGAGAGACUGUUUCGGGAGUGUAGGGAGGAAGGUGUCUCUCACUGCUAGCGUCAUGUCCCCCUGCCCUCCCCUCUUCUCUCCCUCCCUUUCCUCCCUC
ensembl:lncRNA